CAACUCCGCUUGAUCCUGGCGGACCCAACUGCUAUCGGGGUGAGACUAAGCCAUGCGAGUUGUGCGUCCCCAGGCCACGUUGGGGGCGCAGCAUACGGCUCAGUAACAUGUGGCUAACCUACCCUCGGGACGGAAAUAACCCCGGGAAACUGGGGCUAAUUUCCGAUAGAUGAGGAGGUCUGGAAUGACUCUUCGUCCAAAAGGCGUUGGGAACAUGCCUCUCAACGUCGCCCGAGGAUGGGGCCGCAUCCGAUCAGGUUGUUGGUGAGGUAACGGCUCACCAAGCCUAUAACCGGUACGGGCCGUGAGAGCGGGAGCCCGGAGAUGGGCACUGAGAUAAGGGCCCAGGCCCUACGGGGCGCAGCAGGCGCGAAACCUCCGCAAUGCGCGAAAGCGUGACGGGGUCACCCCGAGUGCCAUCCGCUGAGGGUGGCUUUUGCCCGGUGUAACCAGCCGGGUGAAUAAGGGGAGGGCAAGUCUGGUGUCAGCCGCCGCGGUAAUACCAGCUCCUCGAGUGGUUGGG
rnacentral:rRNA from 1 species